GUCAAUACUUCCAGGGAGUGUCCUUACUCUGUGAAUGAGUUGUCUAUUGAAAUGAGAUGCUUGUCUCUCCGAAGACACAGUGGGACUCAAAUCCUGGCUCUAGAUGAUACAUGUUUUGGGUCUUUAGGGUGAAGACAGGAAAUCAAGAGACAAGAGUUCGAAUGCCGACAUUUGAGUGAGUGUUUACAUUGCCAGCUCCCUGGCCUACUUGUAGACCACGCUCAACUUGCAAGCCUCCACUCAUACCAACAAGGUGGCUCUUCUUAAGCAGAAGUAAGAACUUAUCUCUGAGGGCUACUGUCAUGUAACUACAUGGACAAACGGAAACAUUUUCUCACGAAUUCAGACAGCUGACAGAGACUAACAUUAUCUUCCAAAAGAGACACAU